UAAAGUAAUAAAUAAGAUUUCGGAGAUAAGAAUAAAUAAGAUAAAGUAUAAAACAGAUUUCAGAAAUUGAUAACAUUUUCGUUAUGGUGUAACAGAAAGUAAAUUGAUAAAUACAUUUUUAAUUGAUAUACAAGGUGUUCGGCUACAGGUGUCAAGAGAUUUAAGGGGUGAUUCUUGAAGCCGAAAUAAGACGAGAAUGAAAAAAUUUCAUUUUCGACUUUGUUUUUUAGUUACUGACAAUUAAUAAUCCGCCAAAAUACUCCUGCACGUGAGCAAACCUCCUUACACGAACGAAAAGAGGUGAAAGCAUUGGCAAAGAGUAUCGUAAAUUUUUCUUUCGUAAUGAACUCUCCAUUACUACAAUGCCGUGUUUUAGACAUUUUGAAGCAAGAGGUUAGAACAGUUUU
rnacentral:misc_RNA from 1 species